UACGUAGGGGGCAAGCGUUAUCCGGAUUUACUGGGUGUAAAGGGGGCGCAGACGGCGAUGCAAGCCAGGAGUGAAAGCCCGGGGCCCAACCCCGGGACUGCUCUUGGAACUGCGUGGCUGGAGUGCAGGAGGGGCAGGCGGAAUUCCUGGUGUAGCGGUGAAAUGCGUAGAUAUCAGGAGGAACACCGGUGGCGAAGGCGGCCUGCUGGACUGCAACUGACGUUGAGGCCCGUAAGCGUGGGGAGCAAACAGG
rnacentral:rRNA from 1 species